rnacentral:lncRNA from 1 species
AGUUGCCGAUGAAGAGACGAUUGAAUAUGACUAAGUCCAGAAGUGGUGACGUGUUCUUGCCGAUGAUCAGUAUUGGUGUUUGCCGAUGGCCAUAACAGGAAGACUGCCGAUGACUCUGAAGGGAAGCGUGGGGGUUGUCGAUUGAUCUAUGGCGGUGUCCCGGUCGGUUACAGGGGGGUAGUUUUAUGUUUUCCUUAGUAAUUUAAAUUUGUUUUGUAUAUGGAUUCUUUUUAAUUUGGAAUUCGAGUCCUAGUCGUG